rnacentral:rRNA from 1 species
UACGGGGGGGGCAAGCGGUUGUUCGGAAUUACUGGGCGUAAAGGGCUCGUAGGCGGCCAACUAAGUCAGACGUGAAAUCCCUCGGCUUAACCGGGGAACUGCAUCGUGAUACUGGAUGGCUUGAGUUUGGGAGAGGGAUGCGGAAUUCCAGGUGUAGCGGUGAAAUGCGUAGAUAUCUGGAAGGAACACCGGUGGCGAAGGCGGCAUCCUGGACCAACACUGACGCUGAGAGCGAAAGCCAGGGAGCAAAGCGGGAUUAAGCA